CCUACGGGGGGCAGCAGUGGGGAAUAUUGGACAAUGGGGGCAACCCUGAUCCAGCCAUGCCGCGUGUGUGAAGAAGGCCCUCGGGUUGUAAAGCACUUUCAGUGAGGAAGAACGCCUGGUGGUUAAUACCCAUCAGGAAAGACAUCACUCACGGAAGAAGCACCGGCUAACUCCGUGCCAGCAGCCGCGGUAAUACGGAGGGUGCGAGCGUUAAUCGGAAUUACUGGGCGUAAAGCGCGCGUAGGUGGCUUGAUAAGCCGGUUGUGAAAGCCCCGGGCUCAACCUGGGAACGGCAUCCGGAACUGUCAAGCUAGAGUGCAGGAGAGGAAGGUAGAAUUCCCGGUGUAGCGGUGAAAUGCGUAGAGAUCGGGAGGAAUACCAGUGGCGAAGGCGGCCUUCUGGACUGACACUGACACUGAGGUGCGAAAGCGUGGGUAGCAAACAGGAUUAGAUACCCCGGUAGUC
rnacentral:rRNA from 1 species